ACCAAUCUUUCUGGGUAAGGAAAGAAAAUUAAUUUCCUUGGACGUACAAGUCAGCCAGCUUCCUUAUUUGGCUCUGCAGUUGGCCUGCAAGCACAGUUUGGAAAGUCCUUUUCGAAGGGGAAGGUACUGGGUGGUCUUGAAUUCAUUUUGGAUAUUACAACUUUUUACAAAGGACCUGGAUGGCUGAAACCAGAGGAUCACUUUGAAUUCCAGGCCAGCUUGUAUGAUGACAUGCAACUAUAUCUCAUGAGAACAAACAAACAAAAAUUUAAAGAUAUGUAUUGUGGACAUUCUUGGUUUCUGGGGGCUACAUAACAAAGUGGCCCCAGGAGUCUUUGAAAUUCAAAACAUUAUCAGCUCCUAGUUUUGGAGGCCAGAAGUCCGAAAUCCAGAUAUUCAUCUUGAAUGCUCCAGAUGAGAAGUCUUUCUGGUCUUGUCCAGCUGCUGGUCAUAUCCAGGACUCUUUAUAUCCCUUGGUUUACAGAUGUGUCUGUCCAGUUUCUGCAUCUGAUGUAACAUGUUAAUCUUCCUGUG